GCCACCCUCGAACGGGCAAAAGAAAGAAAGAGGCAGGACUCAGCCGCCUUAGCGUCUUAGAGAAGAGGACGGCAUGCAUGCGGACCCCGUCCACCACACCUGGAGAGCAGGGAGCCCUUAGUCCCUGGACACUUACCAGGGCCGCCACCCCUGGUCCACGCACGUGAUGACAUCUCACCAGGGGCAGCACACCGCCCGAGUCCGCGACACUGAUAACACCUCCUGCGGGCAGGAGGGCGCCACAGCCACCCCUGGUCCCCUAGAUUGUGUGAGGCUAGCAUUUCUGCCCGCCUCUUGGCGUGGACAGCACGCUGGACCGAGAUGGAACCACAGCUUUCUCUUCCCAAUCCCUGGCCUCACCGUUUUGUUUCAUACCUCACCGUUUGUUUCAAACCUCGUGGUGUUGAAAUGAUUAAAUGAGAUUAAGGGGUGUGUGGUAGUGUUGGGCAAACCACAAGAAAACGGUCUGGGUGGGGUCUGGCCCUAAAAUCUUCCUCCCCCACCUCCCAGGCUUCCUUGCCUUGCUGCUUCCUCUCAGCCUUUAAACAGGUUGGCCUCUCCAAGUCCUAAAAACAAAAUUAUCAAGCCAACCUCCUCCUGAAGUGCUCCCUCCAACUAGCUUCCAAGUGUUUCAUGCGGACCUCAAACAAUGGUCUUCCCUGGCUGCCUCUGCUUCCUCAUUUCUCAACACUUGGCAUUCUGGCUUCUCCUCCCCAACUCUAACCCUUCACCUUGCUCAGGCAAGAGCAACUCAUGACUUUCAUUUUGCCAAACCUUGCAGGCAUUCCUCAGGCCUUAUCUCUCUGGUUCUUUCUGCUACAUUUGACACCUUGGGAUGACUCUCACCUUCUGGAAUCUCUCUACUACCUUGGUUUCAGAAGAGUGAACCCUCUGGAUUAUCACAUGAAGCUACUUCCUGUGAGCAGCCCAGGGAUGGCCAGUCACUUGUGACCUACUUUCAGAGCUGGCAGUUCUGACUUCUAGAACAAACUCGGAACAAGCCCAUCUACAGCUGGUUGACUGAGUUUCCUUUGGGCUCCUGGCACCAGAAAGAAUUGCUCACUGGAAGGAUCAUAGGUGGCACUCAUGUCUCACUGCCCCACUCAGGUAUGUAGAUUUUCAUUGCCCUAUAAACCACAGUCAACAUCUCAAGAUCUCCAGAAGGAUGUUUAUGAUCUUCUAUUUGCUAAAGACAGUUGCUUCCUUACGGUAAUUGCUUUAAAAGGUGGGGCACCGUGGCUCACAUGGGACCUCGUCUCUAAAAAAUAAAAAAAUUAGCCAUGUGUGGUGGCGUGCAUCUGUAGUCCCAUCCCAGCUACUCAGGCUGAGGCAGAAGGAUCGCUUGAGCCCAGGAGAUCAAGGCUACAGUGAGCUGUGAUGAUGUCACUGCAUUCCAGCCCGGGCGACAGAGCAAGACCCUGUCUCUAAAACAACAAAACAAAACAGAACCAUUAGCUCUUCUUUUUUGUUUUGUUUUGUUUUGUUUUGUUUUCCUCAGAGCAGAGAUGCCUCACUGUGAUAGGUAAAUUAAGGUGAUACUGAUUGCCAGCUCCAGUGUGGAAGUCCCGAGGUGAAGGAAUUUCUUUCAUAAACAUUUCAAAAGUGAGUCGAUCCAGAAUACACCUCCACCAUGAGAUUACCUGUAAUCUAAUUCAACCUAGAAGAUGGAGUCCAAACAGCUUGAGGUUCUGCAGAUUUCACAACAGCAGCCACAAAAUGAAAGUGAAGAAGGCUUUGGCCAGGCACGGUGGCUCACGCCUGUAAUCCCAGCACUUUGGGAGGCCGAGGCGGGUGGAUCAUCUGAAGUCGGGAGUGUGAGACUAGCCUGAUGCACGUGGAGAAACCCCAUCUCUACUAAAAAUACAAAAGUAGCCAGGUGUGGUGGCGCAUUCCUGUAAUCCCAGCUACUCAGGAGGCUGAACCAGGAGAAUCGCUUGAACCCAGGAGGCAGAGGUUGCAGUGAGCUGAGAUCGCGCCAUUGCAUUCCAGCCUGGGCAACAAGAACAAAACUCCAUCUGAAAAAAAAAAAAGAAAGUGAACAAGGCUUUAAGGUGGAGCACACUAGAAACAUCUUGCUAUUUCCACGUGUCUCUUUGUCACUACACUCCUUAAAUACACUUAAAUAGCUCAUAUUAACAACAGACACAACCAAUGUAAAACCUCUUGGGGCUUUAUAAGAAGUUUCCUAAAGUUAAUGCUGUAGAUUCCUCAUGAUCAUUUCAAAACUAAUGUGAUUUCUUUAGGGUACCUUUAAUUACACUUAUGACCUUGGUUUCAUUUUAAAAAUAUACAUACAUUUAAAGAAGACUGAGGACCCUAAGGAUCUCAAAUAUCCCUUCGACGGGUACCUAAUAGCUGUUUUUGAUUCCUGAGAUACUUGGUUUUAUCUCUCCUUUAGAAACAAAAAUUAUGCUCAGCUGUAACCUCGUCCAGCUCUACCAACUCAGAUAUUCACAGGCUGAUUUCAAGCUCCAAGAGAAAAAGUAGAGUCACGUUUACCUUUUUAUCCCCAACAACAUGUAGCCAUGUUCCCUCCCUAGUUCUGCAUCCUCAGAUCAACCAACCAGGGAUCAAAAAUAUUUAUGAAAAAAAUAACAAUAAAACAAUAAAAAAUACAGUUGACCCUUAAACAGUGUGGGUGUUGAGGGAGCCAGCCGCCAUGCAUUAAAAACUCUGAGUAUAAGUUUCAACACUCAGGCCUGGCGAGGUGGCUCACGCCUGGAAUCCCAGCACUUUGGAAGGCCAAGGCAGACAGAUCACCUGAGGUCAGGAGUUUGAGACUAGCCUGGCCAACGUGAUGAAACCCCAUCUCUACUAAAAAUACAAAAACUAGCCAGGCACCUGUAAUCCCAGCUACUCUGGAGGCUGAGGCAAGAGAAUCGUUUGAACCCAGGAGGCGGAAGUUGCAGUGAGCCGAGAUGAUGCCACUGCACUCCGCACUGGACAACAGAGUGAGACUCUGUCUCAAAAUAAAUACAUUAAUUAAUAAUAAAUAAAAAGUACAAAAAAUUAGCUGGGUGUGGUGGCACACACCUGUGGUACCAACUACUUGGUAGGCUAAGGUGAGAGGAGUGCUUGAGCCCAGGAGAUCAAGGUUGCAUCGAGUCGAGAUCGAACCAUUACACUCUGGCCUUGGCAACAGAGUGACGCCCUGUCUCAAAAAAAAAAAAAAUGUUGACUCCCUAAAAACAUGACUGCUAAUAGUCUACUGUUGACCAGAAGCCUUACCAAUAACAUAGUCAAAUAACACAUAGACUAGUAUCUACAUAUAUUUUAUGCAUUCAAGACAUACCUAACAUUUCUUAAUUUUUGCCAUAUUUCUAGUCUAUGUGGUUCACCUGCAAGAUUUUUCAAAUUGUUGCCAAUUUGAAAAAGGAAAAAAAAAAAAAAAAGACCAUCACAUUCCUGAAAUACCUACUUUGGAACUUUGGAGGUGGCUUCUUACAUAUGUGUAUUUAUUUUCUUUCCCUGUUUUUCACAGAAAGGAACUAAUAGAAAAUAUUUCUUUAUGUAUUGAGUUUAUUUAGAACUGUUCACAUCCUCUGCCCUAGAUAGUUCAAUUAUGGAAAGCAAUCCUAAUUAUAACAUAACCUAGAUACCCAAGAACAAAUUCCCAUUCCCACAUUACAGAUGAAGAAGUCCAAACACAAACAACUUGUCCAAAGUCACAUAGCUGGGUAAACUGAAGAACAUGGUGUUGCUCCAAAGCCAUUUCUACUAACUACGACCCUAUACAAAAAUCUAAAACAGAAAAUUCUGCUUACAUGGAGAUGUUCACACAUAUAUAUUUCUUUUCUUUUUAGAGAUGAGGUUUCUCCAUGUUGCCCAGGCUGGUCUCAAACUCCUGGCUCAAGUGAUCCAUCUGCCUUGGCCUCCCAAAGUGCUGGGAUUACAGGCAUUAGCCUGGCCGAUAUCAUUAAUAAUGGGAAAAAAAUGGAGGGGAGGAUAUCUAAAGCUCUAAAAUAUCAGCAAAUAUUCAGAAAUAUCUAAAAUAUUCAGCAAAACUGGGAUAUUAUUUAUAACACAUCCAAAUGAUGGGGGUACUAUGCAAACAUUUAAUAACGUAUUUACAAAGGAAGGAAAUAAAGAUUAGAGUAGAAAUAAAUUAGAGAAUAAAAAAAGCACCAGAGGAAAUCAAUGUAACCAAAACUUGAUUCUUGGAAAAUAUCAACAAAAUUGACAAACGUUUAACUAAACUGACCAAAAAUUAGAGAGAAGACUCAAAUUACUUACAUCAAAAAUGAAAGGGGCUGGGCGCGGUGGCUCACGCCUAUAAUCCCAGCACUUUGGGAGGCCGAGGCGGGCGGAUCACGAGGUCCGGAAAUUGAAACUAUCCUGGCUAACAUGGUGAAACCCCGUCUCUACUAAAAA
rnacentral:lncRNA from 1 species